UUAUCAAUUUUUGAGAAAAAAAUAACACAUUUUCUCCCUGGUGUCAGGCUAGGACCACGUGUUCAGUAUAGCCCGACUUGGUAAAGAUGGGCGAUUCAUACCUUAUUGUUAUUAAUUUGAACAUAAAUAGUACAUAAGUGUUUUUAUCUGAAAUCAAAUUUGUUGUUGUGAUAGCCUCUGUCAGUUGUUAUUUCUGUAUGUACCCUGAAGUGUGCAUUGAGAGGGGGGGUGUUGAUAAUUUGUGAUUGCAAAUUAUAUAGUUAGAACUCUUAAAGGUAAUUUAUGGUAUCUGUCAAUGUAGAUUUUAAUUAUCAAGGAUACAUAUAUUCAUUAUUAAGAUAUAUUUUAUGUUGCUAGUAAAUGUCCUUUUUUGUUUUUUGGAUGAGUGUUCAAACUAUAACUCAAGACUUUUGAUGAUUGAUACCAUACAAACAUGAUACCAAAAUAUUUUGUAAAUGUUUCUACGACAUCAUACAGGGCUUGAAAUAUUUGAUGGCCCGAUGGACUACAAGCAGUAAAUUAUGGAUUUUGGCUAGUGCUUUGUGAAGAACAUGUGCCCUUGAGGCUAGUUAAUUUAAACACUUAUCAAAAUGCCUCAACAGUAUUGGGCUAGUAAGUGUUAGAUGUGGGUGCAUCCAGGUGUUUAUCGCAUGCGAAAUGAUUUCUUUAAUUCCCUAUUGUUAAGUUCAGGGUUUGACACUGAACAGGUUGGGAACACUUCCCCUACAACAAGAUAUCUCACGAAAACGCGAUUAUCCCUCUCUAGCGAGAGUAGGCCUAAAUAUAUCCCGUACAACCGAGAAAAACACCUGUGGGUGCAUCUCUUCGUGUUUCACCUCAAAAGAAGAAAAACUGCUUACAGCUAAAAUGUCAAGGGGUCGAAAUUAACUUUUUCUACCACAGGCUAAUUUUAGCCUGUGGUUAAAAAAUCCACAGGCUAAAAUGAAAAUUUCCCACUAGCUAAAAUAAGAAUAAUGAAGCAGUGCUCUUUUUUCAUAUGUUUUUUUUUUAAAUCAACAAUUUUCCCCAUCGUUACUGAGCCUAGUGGGUCAACUACACAAGGACACUUAAGUUACAUAAGUCAUGUGGUGCAAUGUUUAAGUCUCUUGAUUAUCGCACAUUUAAUCGAUAACCUGUUUACUGCAGGUCUAGGUCCAGUCUUUCAAUUUCAUGUCACAUCAGGGUUGUCACUGAUGAUUUUUCAAAGCGAAUCCCGGACUCAUGGUUUUAUAAGCAGCACGAUCACGAGCCCCAUGAAUUUUUUUGAUAAUCACCUACGCAGUGAGCAGUGCACUCGUGUCAUCACUACAACCCGACCUCAAUAUGACAAUAAAUUAAUUUAGAUAGGCAAUUCUCAUGAUUCUGAAAAAAAAAAAGGACUACCGGAAGACUUUGUAAAACAUAGAGCCAGAUUUUUUUUUUUUUUUUUUUUUGGUAAAUGAAUAACAAAAACCUCAUACUUGGAAUUCAUUUUAAUCACCCCUAUAGGUGAACAGGACUCUUGGCACAUGUCUAUAUUUUUCGUCAUAAUGCAAUGUCCGACCUCUGAAGCAUUUGUUUGAAUCUUGAGUUUCUUUAAAAAAUCAUAAAAGAAAAAUCUGGAUAGAAACGGUUGUUGAAAUCAGUCGUUCAUGUAAGCGUUUGUAUGAUUCAGAGUGCAAGUUUUAAGAAAAGCGAAUAGCGCAUCACCAUAUAAAACGGAUACGAUACGAUCAUAGCUUGUAAAUCACCACUCGCUAAGAUUUUCGGAUGUCCACUAUUUUUACUCGCUAUUUUUCAAAUGUACUCGCAGUUUGCGAGUAUUUCUCGCUAAUUUCGAGCCCUGAAAUUUGCCUGAUUCUUAUGCAAAUAUGUUAAUGGAAAAAAAACACUCAUAAUGUGCAUUGGAUUUCAGACUGCUUCCCUCCAGGGUUGGACGGUUAAAACCGCCCCCGGCUUUAACCAGCGGUUUUAACCAUCCUGGUCAAUACUCCCUAAGUGGUCAAUACUGGUCAAUUGAGAUUUAAACUGUCCAUUUUCCUAUUUUUGUACAUAUUUUGCAAAGAUAAUUAAGUCUUUUCAUUAUAAUAUAUGGAUCAAUUGGUUAUCAAUAAUUUUUAUUAGAUAAUUAGAUGUAAUUUCAUAAGUUUAAUAUAUUUGUUUUGCUGAAACUGUGAUCAUAAUAUCUUUAGAACUAUAAAAGAGGGUCACAUAUAGCAUAACUAGACAAUAGGAUGCAAGGUGAAGAUAACGAACAGCGAUCAAUCUCAUAACUCCUACAAGCAAUACAAAAUAGAUAGUUGGGCAAACACGGACCCCUGGACACACCAGAGGUGGGAUCAGGUGCCUAGGAGGAGCAAGCAUCCCCUGUUGACCGGUCACACCCGCCGUGAGCCCCAUAUCCUGAUCAGGUAAACGGAGUUAUCCGUAGUCAAAUCAGUGUGCCAAAAACGGCUUAACAAUCGGUAUGAAACACGUCAGACAGCAUUUGACCCACUGCGAGGUUGUAUUGACGAACUAGAUCGUUAUAACGACCAUAGAAUUUGCGAAAUGCUGACUUCAAUCGAGACUGUUGAAAUCCCUGUACCAUCAACUUGUUUGUCAGUAGCUUACUUCGAUUUAAAAACUGACUAUACCCAGAACAAGCUCUUGCAUAUCGAAUCAGUUGAGAUAUAUAAACACCAUAUGCAGGUGAUAAUGGAUUAUUGCUACAUAAAUGUGGGAAAUUGACGAUGGAGAAACUGAAAUCAUCCCGUUUGUCAUACAGUUGAGUUGUCAGUUUGCCGUUAAUGUCUACUUUCAAUAAAAUAUCUAAGUAUGAAGCAGAAGUGGACGACUCUGUGGUGUCCUUUAUUUCGAGCUCACAGGGAUAUACAGGGUUCGAAAUUAACUCAUGUCCAUAAGUCCGAGACUAGUAAAAAACGUGUCGGACUAGUGACCUCUAUAUAGCACUAGUCCGUACGGACUAGUGAAAAUCCGGAAAUCAAUCUUCAAUUGGUAAAGAUUUUUAGGAAGAUUUGUCUGAGUCUCUUAGAUGUUUGAACUUAUGGUUGAUUACCUGCAUGGUCAAGUGUUUGCAUGACUAUGACAUCCUGAUCUUCCAAACACAUGGAGUGCGUUCGAGACUGCCGUUCUUCGAACGUGCACAAAUUGUCAAAUUCCUGCCGAUUCCGAACGCCGAGUACACAUCACGAGAAUGUGUUCUAGGUGUAAGAAUUGCAAGUAGUCUGGUCUGAGAAGAUGCACGUUUGUGCGCACAUGUUCUCGUCAUUCGCGACUCUAACACAGUAGUUCAUAACACUAUAGCUUAUGACUUGGUCAAUCGAGUGAAUUUUAUUGACUUUAUUGAUAAAAUUUCGAACUCCUGUGACUCUAAAAUCUGAGCACCAAACCAACAGGAACAUCGAUCUCGAACGCACUUAUGGACGUUUAUAAAAGGAUUAACUCGGAGGUUAAUAUUGUAUGCUUCUGAAGAUUUUGAAUGCGAAAUAAAAUAUGGUGGUCUCUUUUUCUUCUGUAGGUGUCAGAAAUUGAAUUGUUUGCAACUGUGAUGUGUUUGGUUUGAUUAAAAUGAAGAUCAUUUUAUGAUAUACUGGACGGACUAGUGAAAUGCUUUGCGGACUAGUGAACAUCAACAGUGACUAGUCCGUACGGACUAGUGCUUGAAAAAGUUAAUUUCGAACCCUGAUAUAUCAAAUCGACAUAUGAUCUGCUUAUAAAUGCACCUGGACAGAUUAAGAAUAACAGGUAGCUGGACAUUAAAUACACACAGUGAUUUAAUAUGAAUUGGGUGACAGAUGCUGUAGAUAAACAAUGUGUUGCAAUGUACAGAGCAGAUGUACCUGAGCACAGGAAACAGAGUUGACAGGUGUUAAUUAGCAUACUCUGGGACCAAAGAGGACCAGUGUACAUGUUAUUGUUAGGAAAACAUCAACAACACACCCCCUCAAAUGUUUAUUUAACAGUUAGAUGAAGAUUUGAAACAAUAGGUAGUUCUUGAUAAACUAAAGAAUUUGAACAGAAAUAGAAAACACUUCCCCCAUCAUACUAUAUAUGGCUUCAACAAAACAUAGUUUAGGAAAUACCACAAUUUUACUCUCACAUUCACUUCUUGACCUGCUAAGAGACACAAUCAUGAAGCCAAGAGAUCCUAUUUGGAAUUUCUAUGAUAUUGUUGAGGACAACAAGACCACAGCAAGAUGUAAAGACUGCAAUGCUGUUGUCGGUGCCAAAGUAAUACGGCUACAAUUUGUUUAAUUUUUACAAUAAACUUUUACAUCUUCCCAAAUUUAACAGAGUCAUUUACAUUAUUUAUUUAAUAUUAUGACUUGCAAGUAUAUUAUAAACUGAUAGUGCAUGUUAUGAAUUAGUUAUUACAGUAUUUACCAUAAUGGCCACUGAAACAUUUAAAAUAACCAACAACACAGACUAUAAUGACCAAACAAUUUUCAAUCAACCAGUAUUGACCACUAUUGACCAGUAUUGACCGGUUUUAACCAGUAUUGACCACCGGCCUGGUCAAUAUUCAUAUUGACCACUUUUUUUGCCAACCCUGCUUCCCUCUUAUGCAGCAACUUUGAUAUGCAAUUUAUUGACCGUGUUAUCGGUUUUAUAGAGACUAUUCAUAUCAUGUUGAGUGUGAAUCGCACUUAUUCAGCAUUGCACGAAAUUGUUAUUAUUUUAAAUAAAGACGUCAAAACACCAGUUUAUGGUAAUGUUUACUUUCUCGCUAAAGAGAGAUAAUCAUGUUUUAGCGAGAAUAUCUUGCUAUAGGGGAAGUGUUCCCAACCUGCUAAAGGCACGCCCGACCUACCAAAUCUACUAAAUGAGUACAAAUCUUUGUUGAUACAUACGCGAUGUAAUGCAAAUAGUUCUUAAUCUCUAUUCAUUGAAAUUUCGGCAAAUUUAAUAUGGGAAAUAUUGUGCAUAGCAAAAUGGUUGGUUUAAACAAAGUAUUAUUUAUUGUGUUCUGGCAUUUAAAAGUAGUGUUACCUAAUUGCAAUAAUAUUUUCUUUAUCAUUUGGUUUAGAGACAACAUGAAUGAACAUGGAAAUGUUAUGUACAUUGUUUAACCUAUACCCAGAGUUAUCGUACCUUACACUCACAUUAGCAGUGUUACACAUUCAACAGAAUUCUGUCAAAAAUAUAUCUGAAAUUAAUUAACAAAUUCUAUAUUUGUUUUGUUUAAAUAAAUAAAUAGCGAACAAGUUAACAUCAUUUAUAUACGCACAUGGUACAUUUUUGUGCGAAUACUUCAUGAUAUUUACAUUUGCUAAUGCACUUCCUUAUAUGACAGUACUAAUGAAAUCGAUAUUCAAUUUUGUGUGACAUGAAUUUGGUCAGGUGAUCAGUUUGUUCUUGCCUAUGAAUACAAUCACCGCUUCAAAAGCCUCUGUACUUUCACCUGCCUUCUUGCUUAUGCAAUGCAGUGGGGGAUUUAGACACCCCCUCUUGCCAUAAAUUUAUAAAUAAUAGAAAUAGUGUGAGUAAAAUGACAGAUUGGCACCCAAAAUGGCUUAGUAUUUUGUCUAAUACUUUACUUUCACUCACACCCUUUCGUAAAUAUUAAAUUGAAAGUAAAUAGAUAUUUAAAAAGAACAGGCAGUCCUUUACCAAAAUUAUAAAUUUAAUUAUUCUAGGGGUAGGGGUUUUGGUAUCAGGAUGGGACCAAAAUGGUCAGUUAUUAAAUGUGUGAAGAACAAUAGACAUUUUAAACUUCUUGAUAACUAUCAUUCCAAUUCUUUUCAAAUUUGGUAUGAAACAUAUUUGGAACAAGGGGAACAUAAAUUGUAGAUUUCAGGAUUCCUGCACCCCUGGGGCCUUCGAUUGCGUCACAAACAAAAGUGUAUUUCACUUUUUAAAUGUCCUGAAAAAAUGUUUGUAAAUUUAUUUGUGAUAGAAAUCUUGUAUUUAAUUUAACUAUUAUUUAUAUAAUAUUUAUUGUUUUUGUUUUAUAUCAGAAUGAUGGAGGAAAGAAGUAACAUGGUGAAAUAAGUUGGAUAUUGUCUUCAUUUAUUGAAGCUCCCAGCUGAAAAGACACAUAUAAGAACAAUCACAUAGAAUAACUCUCCAUGUUUUUUGCUGAUUGCAGUCUGCACUUUAGCCAAGGCUGUAUCAUAAGCUUUCUUGAAAGAUCUGUCAUUUUUCAAAAGACGACGAUAUUUUAUGAAAUCCACCACAACAGGAUCAUCAACUGGUAACAACGCUUUCGCAGCGCUGACUGUAGAUUCUGUAUCUACAGGAAAGGUCUGCAUUAUUUUCCUGAGGUGGAAGUGACAUGAUGCAGCCAGUACUAGGAUUUGCUCCAAUAUCUAUUGUUACAAGUGAAGAUAACGAACAGCGAUCAAUCUCAUAACUCCUACAAGCAAUACAAAAUAGAUAGUUGGGCAAACACGGACCCCUGGACACACCAGAGGUGGGAUCAGGUGCCUAGGAGGAGUAAGCAUCCCCUGUUGACCGGUCACACCCGCGGUGAGCCCCAUAUCCUGAUCAGAUGAACGGAUUUAUCCGCAGUCAAAAUCAGUGUGCCAAGAACGGCUCCUAGGAGGAGUAAGCAUCCCCUGUUGACCGGUCACACCCGCCGUGAGCCCCAUAUCCUGAUCAGAAUUGUUGAAAGCACUACGAGCAACAACAUUUACAACACCAGCUCCCAAAAUAUUACAACGCUAAUGAACAGAAUAAAGAACAACUACUUUGGGCCGUUUGAUUUCAUCUUGAUUCUGUUUGUCGUUGAGAACCUUACACUGCUUGGAUUUCUUAUAUACAAAAUUUACAUCAGAAGGAAAUCUCGGGAACAUGGAAAAUUCGUUUGGAGUGUGUCCGGUUAUGAGUUAUAAGAGAACAACACGCCGCUUCGACAGGAACAUAUUCACCAAAACUAAAUAAAGAUGCUGCUUAUCCAGAACCAAAGAUUGAUAGCCGCAAUCAAGACUAGACCCAGAUAGUAUGUCAACUGUAUGUAUAGUAGGUGCAGAGAAUUGAAGAAGAUAGAGUGUACACUGUAUUAUUCCAAGAGACCAUUUAGACAGAGAUCGCCUCCAAAAAAUGUAUUUACCGAAUGCACCAAAUCGACAUGCCAGAGAACAACCCAUCAGGCAACAUGAUGGUUACAGAAUGAACGACUCUAAGCUGUUGCGGCCGCAGAGACUUGGACUAAACUUUGAUUACAUGUCAGAAUUUUAUGUGUAAUAAAAUACUAGUUAAUUUUGAGUGUGGUAGAAUAAUUACUAAACUAACAAAAAUGGACAUUCAGAAUACUCGUCAUCUGACCAAUAAGAUCAAAUUAGUUGUUGUCACCAUUUGGCGUCUGUUGUCCGCUAACUAAAUUCCACAUGAGAACCACUGAAUGACGAUUAACCAAACGUGGAAGAGUUCUUCCAGAAUUGCUGUUUCCCUAAAUCAGAUUCGUUAAGAUAUUGCUAUAAAUCAAUACAAACGUUUUCUCUCUAAACUUCUAUUAAGAAAGGUACCUGCAAUUUGAUACCGGUUUUUCCCAUGCAAAGAAAUAACAGUCCGUAAAACAAUAUGUUGACACAAGCAUCACUCGAAACAUCCGUGUAUACAAAGUGAAAUUGCUUCCCUACUGUAAAGUUUGCUUUGAAAUGUUUUAGAAGAAAUCUUAAGAAGGGACCACUCUCAGACUGUUAAAUGCUGAUAAAUCUGAACGGAAGUAGGUAUAACCAGAAUCCAUACUCAAGUAAUCUCUCUUUAAUGUUAAAUACCAAACAAAAACAACAAAAGCAAAACACGUAAGUAACCGCUGUCAAUAAAGCUAUGUUGAAUUUUCAUAUGCAAAGUCAGUUUCCCCUUUUGUUGGUAAACUUUGUCGCAUCCUUUAUAUUCACACCUGUGCUGAGUUCUUUCAAUCUGUAAAAUACAAAAUGUGUAUGUUGUAUUGGGAUGGAAAUGAAAAUACUCAAUGAAUCUUUGCAUAGGAAUAGCUGAAGUUAGGGGUAAAAAAAACUUUAGUAUCGUAUUAGUACUUGUAUUUUUGCAUGUAUUUUUUCUGCUCAGGUAGAAAAUGGGUCUAAGAAGCAAUUGACAAACUGUGUUCUCCGCACACAAAAGGUUUGCUUAGUAAACACACAACGCAGUGUUACAUGAAAUACUACUUGGUUUUCAAAUCUUUCCGGUAUCGAGUAAUAUAAACUUAAUCCUAGUCGCAUGACGGUUGGUUUAUUGAUAAACCAGAUCAUUGAAAAUAGCUCGACACUACACGUUGCUUCCCUUUUCUAAUAACAAAAGAUGCAGCGGGUAUUAUUAACCAACUUUUCCUCUAAAUCAUAUCCAAUUCUUUAAAUCAUAACUUAUCCCCUAAAGCAUUACCUGACCCGUUUGGAUAGAAAUUUUGGCAAAAUACAAACACCAACAUCAAAAACUUAGAAUAUUUUAAUUUCAACUUGCACAACUCGUCCCUAGAGUGGUCAACUUAUUUCGACUGGUUAGCUGAUUGAGCCAAUAUUGACCCUGACAAUCGAGAAUCGUGAGAAAUAUUCAAAAUUCCACCCCUUUUUCCUCUCGGAAAAUCAUCUCAUGUCGUCUUGCCACUUUAGAUAUGGGUAAUUGUGGUUAUUUCGUGUACUUUAAUCAUUUCUACAGCUGAUUACAUUCCCCGAUUUUCGUCAACAGUGGUUCAAUUAUUAUAAACAAGAAAAACUCAGAUCUACCUACCUGUCGAAGCGGCGUGUUGUUCUCUUUUAACUCAUAACCGGACACACUCCAAACGAAUUUUCUUGCAUAAACGUUAGAUUAUGAUUUAGGACAUGGG